ACUUGCUUAGUCAUAUGUGGAGUUAUGAGAGGCAUGUCGGGGAGAGGAAGCGGUAGUUUUGUGACUCAGUGCUUCAUGAGCGUUCCAUUCCGUUAGCCUUACACUGUAGCUCUUUGACUCAUCUGGAUUUCUCUAGUGCUUUGAGAGAGGGUGUGUGAGUGUGUGUGUGUAUGUGUGUGUGAAUGUGGGGGAGGCAGGUUUGCUGUGUUUCUGGUCUGUUUCUGGCCCAUUUGUUCAUUUUUCAGCUCUGUGUUUAUAGCUGGUAGGAGAAUGAAGGGGAAAUGCUGCCAGAGCUCCGGCAGGCACUGUGUGGGCUUCAGUAGCAGAGUCGUCGUGCAGGCUGCACCCAAAAAGGUCGCCGGAGGAAGAGCCGGGCCGAGUGAGGAAACGGACGGCUGCUAUGGCUUCAGGUUGGGAGCUGGCUGCUGAUGCUUGGUGAAAGAGAGAUAAUGCACCUGUGUGUCCUUAUACGCACAGAAUGGAGAGAAAAUGGAGUGGUGAACUUUCAGCAACAGACAACAACUGAAGCACUUGAAAAGAGUGUACCUGCAGUAGAGCAGCCAUGCAACCAACCAUCAUACAAAACACAGCUGAACACCCAGAGGGAAGGUAAUCCCAGUGAGCAAGACUACACACUGAUGGUAAGACAGGGUAGGUGGGACACACCCAUUAUACAUUAUGCGUAUAAGUGAUGCCAUUAGCCAAUAGGAAAGAUACUUUUUAUAUAAUGCUUUUACAUUUAGUGUCCCUGCUGUUUAGUGUAGGUGAUAUAUCAUCAGAAUAUUGGGUGCACAAUAAAUUUAGUGCAUUUUAGUGAGUUAUUUAGCAAUAUUUAAUGGCUGAAGUAAGUUUUACUGCUAAAAAAAAUAGGUAACAGUGUGGAUUUUAUACGAAAUCAUCAUUCAGUUAAUAUUUAGUUAAUUUUGUAUAAAUGUUACACAAUUAACUUGUGUUAAAUUAAGUAAUCCCAUUAAACGUUUCUUACAGUGAACUG